rnacentral:lncRNA from 1 species
UUCCAAAGGGAAGAAAUCUGUCUUGCUGAACAUGCAAAGCUAGAAGAUUAGCUUAAAUUUAGUCCAAAUUCAUAUGGACUAUAGGGGUUUUGUAGCAGUGACAUCACAGAGCUGCAGAGUCCAGUAAUGUCAGUAAUUCUCCCACCCUGUAGCUUAGUUCAAUUUCUGUGUGCAGAAAUAGAAGUUGGGACCAGUUAUUUUACUCUACUGAGGACUUAGUAAGAUUUUAAAGUCAGUAUCUAGGUAGAAGAAAAUCAUUUCCAGAAUAGCAGGAAUUAAAAUUAUUUAAUCUGUGGGAGUAACUGUUUCUGAUUUGAAGUUUUAGCAGUUAAAAUCUGAACAAAAAUGAACUUUUGCCCUCAUGCAUCAUUUCACCAAAUGCUAUUCACCUGUUUCUAUCACUGCCACUGAGCUGGGAGACAGAAGAGAUUGGAAGGGCUCUACUCUUUUAGGGAAACAUUUCCUGUGGAGAUCUGGCUCUGAUUUUGGUGUUACCACAGAAUCUGAUGUUCACAGUGAUGUUUUGGGCCAACAGAGAUUUGUUGGUGAUGAAUUAAAAGCAUGUCUGCUGUUGGGUAAACACUUCUGUUGGUAUGUGCUGGCAUCAUAGAUUUUAAAAUUCUGACAUCUUCUGAUGCAGUCUCCAGUCCUCUGUUGAACUCUCCACUGCAAUACUUCAUCUUCAAAAAAGUACCUCUUGAUGUAUUUAUUUAUUCAUUUCCUUAUUUCUCUUUAGGAAAAGAAUGCUGUCCUGCAAAACAUGCUCAGGAAGUUGAGGGAUAUGGAGGUAGAGCACCAUGGCUGCAGCGAGAUCCCGAGGCUCCGGGCUGAUCAUCUGGAUCUCGAGGAUAGACAGAAGGACAGACUUGUCAGGGAGCUGGAGAUCCUCAAAUGUGCAAUGGAGAGAGGGGGCUGAGGAAAGGAAGGAAACUGAAGAACCCUCUGGGAGAUUAGUGGAUGCUGCAACCGGCCUGAGCCUGCGUGAAAGCCCAGUGAUGUGUCAUCUAGAAUACAUUUGCAAGCACAAGACUGACACUAUGAACAACCUUCAGCAGAACCAGGAGGGUGCUUUAGCAAAAAUGUCUGAAAAGUUAAAAGCACAGGAAGAUUGCUGGCAGAAAGAAAAGCAACAUCUUGAACACCAGAACUCAAAUCUCCUUGCAGAAUUUCAUGCAAGACCACAAGUAUGGCACUGUGAACUUCUAAUUUUUUUCUUGCAACAUUUGAUGGAUUUUUUUCAGUAGUUUAAGCCCCUUAGCAGUUUAAGGUCAUUUGGGAAUUUUAGUAUAUUUUUUAAGUUAAGGAAAAAAAAGCUUACAGCAAACCAACCCGUCAUUGCACUCACAUUAACAUCACUUAAAAUAAGAAAUAAAUGACUUUGUUGAAGCAUUCUGAAGAGAAUUUGGUCUGCAGCCCCAAUUCAGAAGCCUGAUUUGGUCUAUUUUUGGUAGUAUUUUGGCAGUAUUUUUUGUUUCUGAGAAUGUUAAAGCUGUAAGAUCAAAUUUGCUUAUUUUAAGAAUUACAGGGGACAGCAGCUGCUUUUUCAGCACCAUCAUUUGCAGAGAUUGUAUAGAGCAACAAUAAUGUGGGGAUGAAUUUAGUUACAUGUGUACUGACCCUAAGACAAUGGCAGAUUUCAACGGUGUUAAGUGACUCUAUUGCACUGAUAUUACAGUCAGAAGUGGUUUAGAGGUGUAAAACUCUCACUGCUUGUUAGAUGAGUUAUUUGCAAACCCAAAUGUUCCCUGUUGUUCCACAACCACCAUUUACCAUCACAUUCCUUCACAUCUUUUUCAUUUAAAAGUGUUGUGAAUAAAGAAAAUAGAUGUCCAUUGU